rnacentral:rRNA from 1 species
UACGGGGGGGGCAAGCGUUGUUCGGAAUUACUGGGCGUAAAGGGCUCGUAGGUGGCCAACUAAGUCAGACGUGAAAUCCCUCAGCUUAACUGGGGAACUGCGUCUGAUACUGGAUGGCUUGAGUUUGGGAGAGGGAUGCGGAAUUCCAGGUGUAGCGGUGAAAUGCGUAGAUAAUCUGGAGGAACACCGGUGGCGAAGGCGGCAUCCUGGACCAACACUGACACUGAUGAGCGAAAGCCAGGGGAGCAAACGGG